UACGUAGGGUGCAGGCGUUGUCCGGAAUUACUGGGCGUAAAGAGCUCGUAGGUGGUUUGUCGCGUUGUCCGUGAAAACUCACAACUCAAUUGUGGGCGUGCGGGCGAUACGGGCAGACUAGAGUGAUGUAGGGGAGACUGGAAUUCCUGGUGUAGCGGUGAAAUGCGCAGAUAUCAGGAGGAACACCGAUGGCGAAGGCAGGUCUCUGGGCAUUAACUGACGCUGAGGAGCGAAAGCAUGGGGAGCGAACAGG
rnacentral:rRNA from 1 species